rnacentral:rRNA from 1 species
GACGAACGCUGGCGGCGUGCUUAACACAUGCAAGUCGAACGAUGAGGCCGGAGCUUGCUCUGGUGAAUUAGUGGCGAACGGGUGAGGAACACGUGAGUAACCUGCCCUUGACUCUGGGAUAACUGCGGGAAACUGUAGCUAAUACCGGAUACGACCCUCGGAGGCAUCUCCUGGGGGUGGAAAGAAUUUCGGUCAAGGAUGGACUCGCGGCCUAUCAGCUAGUUGGUGAGGUAAAGGCUCACCAAGGCGACGACGGGUAGCCGGCCUGAGAGGGUGACCGGCCACACUGGGACGGAGACACGGCCCAGACUCCUACGGGAGGCCGCAGUGGGGAAUAUUGCACAAUGGGCGCAAGCCUGAUGCAGCAACGCCGCGUGAGGGAUGACGGCCUUCGGGUUGUAAACCUCUUUUAGUAGGGAAGAAGCGAAAGUGACGGUACCUGCAGAAAAAGCACCGGCUAACUACGUGCCAGCAGCAGCCGCCG